rnacentral:misc_RNA from 1 species
GUAGGUGAACCUGCGGAAGGAUCAUUACCAAAUACUGCUUGCUUGAACUUGACUGUUCUGCAAACAAAACCCCCUCUGCGUACCUGUACCUGUUGCUUCCGUCAGCCUGUGGGCGUCCCUCGGGGCGUCCCCUCCGGUGCCUGGCCAGUUCAUGGCCGGCUGGGGAGUUGCUGGCGGCGAGCCAAAACAUUAAACACCUGUCAUAUCUCUGCACAUGUCUGAGCUUUGAUGCUAUAAACAAAAACAAGUU